rnacentral:lncRNA from 1 species
GUAAUAUACAAUGGAGCCACAAAGGCAGAAUUGCUGGUGACUUUGGGCACCGGCUUCACUUCUGCAGAGAAGUAUCCCUUCAAAUUUCUUUUCAGCUUGAAGGUAACUUGAGCAAUCAGACGAGCACGGCUGCACUAAUGUUUCAGUGCUUACUUUCCCUUCAAGUCUCUAAUAAACUCAGCAUCAUCCAUUCAGGUGAUAGGUGGGGAGCACAAUUUCUGGGGCUGUGUUGACUGUUGCAAGCUUUUGUAACAGGAGCAACGUUCCAACGAGGUGCCUUUGCCUCCAGAUCUGCCAUCCCAGGAGGCGCACCUGAUCAGGACAAACAGCUUGGCGUUUACUAAUUAUUACUACCGUGACGCUACCCAGCUUCCUGGCACGCGCAUCACCUGCGUGGCCGGAUGCUGCCAGGUCUUUCCCCUCUUAGGGUUUGCGAUGCUCAUGACGGCAUGCAAGUGCAGAUCACUUCACUGUCCAGCAAUUCUGUUCAUAGAGUUCUACAGUCAUCUGCGCUCUCGACAGGUCUGUGUUCCAGCACUUAUCAGCAGUCAAGGUUGCUGCCUGCAGGGGAGCCACUUGAAAGGCUGGGGAGUGGAGCAGAUGAGAGACUGGAUAUAUGCAGUGUACUCGGCAGUCUCUUACAAGGUAAAUCACCCGUUCAUCACCAAACUCUGGGUUCCCACAUUGCACGGCAUCUGCUUUGGAGGGUUGACAUGCUUGCAGCGCCAACUGCAGUUCUGUAAGCGAGUUUCAGAGGCAGAGCACCCAUGAGGUAGCUUCAGAGGAGAGAUGACGGGAGCGUGGCUAAGCACCCUCGAGAACCUUUACCUUGGCUGUUGCGCAGGUGUCUCUCAGACAGAGCGGAGCAGUUGGAGAUGGUGUGGCGCCAACAUGCUUGGCUAUACUGCCAGGAGCUGCAGGAGUCAUCAUACUUCCAGAUGUGCGGCACAUGAACAUCUUUCCAUUUUAUGGCCUGCCGUGGUAUGGGAGUCCAGAGGUGGUUGCAGCUUGGGACAAAGUUUUGCGCUGAUGGGAGAUUAAUUAUUAAAAUGCAGAAAUGGGGCAAUAUCAGAGGUCGGAGAGAUCACUGCAGCGAGCAGAUCCUCGCUGAACGCACCCAGCGUUUCAGUGUUGAUAUCUGUAUGACAUGCUUCUCCUACCAUUCAAGGCCAGAAGCGUUUCAAGGUUUCAAUUUUAGCCACACAGCAAUUGUGCACCAGCUCAGGGUGGAUCACAGAAAAUAUUAGGAGCAAACAAGGGACAGCCUGCUGUCAAGCUCUCAACAUUGGGCGCUGAAUACAAGAUGCCUGCGAUCCUUGCAGGCACCAUGAUGAGUUCACUCUACAUUCCAUCUAGGUGUGUGGCCUGAAGAUUGCAGUCUCUCAGCAGUGGGAACGCCAUUCAUGAUCCACUCUGUCAUGCACUGCCGUUAUGAAUUGAUAUCAAGGAAUUUUGUUACAACAGACAGCGCUGAGCACAUUGUGGACUGCAUGCAUGGCAUGCGGUGCCACACAAGUGGAAUGCAUGCAAAGCUGCAGACAUUGUGCAAUGGAAAAUUUGUAAGUGCAAUCCAAUUGAGA